rnacentral:rRNA from 1 species
GACGUAGGGCGCAAGCGUUGUCCGGAUUUAUUGGGCGUAAAGAGCUCGUAGGCGGCUCGUUGCGUCGGCUGUGAAAACCCGCAGCUCAACUGUGGGCCUGCAGCCGAUACGGGCGGGCUAGGAUUCGGUAGGGGAGACUGGAAUUCCUGGUGUAGCGGUGAAAUGCGCAGAUAUCAGGAGGAACACCGGUGGCGAAGGCGGGGUCUCUGGACAGUUCCUGACACUGAGACACGAAGGCCAGGGGAGCAAACGGG